rnacentral:rRNA from 1 species
UACGUAGGGUCCGAGCGUUGUCCGGAAUUACUGGGCGUAAAGCGCGCGCAGGCGGCCCGCGAGGUGUCACGUGAAAGCCCCGGGCUCAACCCGGGAGGGUCGUGGCAAACCGGCGGGCUUGAGGCCGGUAGAGGUGGGUGGAACUCCUGGUGGAGUGGUGAAAUGCGUAGAGAUCAGGAAGAACACCCGUGGCGAAAGCGGCUCACUGGACCAUAACUGACGCUGAUGCACGAAAGCUAGGGGAGCAAACAGG